rnacentral:rRNA from 1 species
UACGGGGGGAGCAAGCGUUGUUCGGAUUUACUGGGCGUAAAGGGCGCGUAGGCGGUCGUGACAAGUCACUUGUGAAAUCUCCGGGCUUAACUCGGAACGGUCAAGUGAUACUGUCGGACUAGAGUACAGAAGGGGCAACUGGAAUUCUCGGUGUAGCGGUGAAAUGCGUAGAUAUCGAGAGGAACACCUGCGGCGAAGGCGCUCUGCUGGACCAUAACUGACACUCAGGGACGAAAGCUAGGGGAGCGAAUGGG